rnacentral:rRNA from 1 species
CAGGUCUGUGAUGCCCUUAGAUGUCCGGGGCUGCACGCGCGCUACACUGACUGGCUCAGCGUGUGCCUACCCUACGCCGGCAGGCGCGGGUAACCCGUUGAACCCCAUUCGUGAUGGGGAUCGGGGAUUGCAAUUAUUCCCCAUGAACGAGGAAUUCCCAGUAAGUGCGGGUCAUAAGCUUGCGUUGAUUAAGUCCCUGCCCUUUGU